rnacentral:rRNA from 1 species
AUUGAACGCUGGCGGCAGGCCUAACACAUGCAAGUCGAACGGUAACAGGAAGAAGCUUGCUUCUUUGCUGACGAGUGGCGGACGGGUGAGUAAUGUCUGGGAAACUGCCUGAUGGAGGGGGAUAACUACUGGAAACGGUAGCUAAUACCGCAUAACGUCGCAAGACCAAAGAGGGGGCCCUCCGGCCCCCUGGCAUCGGGUGUGGCCAGAUGGGAUUAGCUAGGAGGUGGGGGAACGGCUCACCUAGGCGACGAUUCCUAGCUGGUCUGAGAGGAUGACCAGCCACACUGGAACUGAGACACGGUCCAGACUCCUACGGGAGGCAGCAGUGGGGAAUAUUGCACAAUGGGCGCAAGCCUGAUGCAGCCAUGCCGCGUGUAUGAAGAAGGCCUUCGGGUUGUAAAGUACUUUCAGCGGGGAGGAAGGGAGUAAAGUUAAUACCUUUGCUCAUUGACGUUACCCGCAGAAGAAGCACCGGCUAACUCCGUG